GAAAGUUUCGCAAAAUUGCAGUCCGCAGUGCCCAUACUUUUUUAAAAGUUCGACAGCAGCAUACGAAAACACUUAAUUUGCAGUUUUCAUCAUUGUAAUAUGAAUUUGGUGCAGUCAAAUUUUAAAGCAUUCCCAGGAAUAGCAACACGGAGUGGCAAUAGAUCUAGUGCACCGUACAUGAAAAAGAUUAAAAUCUUCAUAACAAAGCGAGAAAAAUUAUUGUGUGUGCAGUGUUACGAUUUUAGUUUCUGGGUGUUGACGGGCUAGACAUUGCAACAAAGUUGAUGAAUUUCAGUACUUGCAAAUCAUGCCUCGCCUGUAUAAAAUAAAAUGUACAAAAUAAUCCAAA